AUACGGAGGAUCCGAGCGUUAUCCGGAUUUAUUGGGUUUAAAGGGUGCGCAGGCGGCCAUUUAAGUCAGCGGUUAAAUCGUGGGGCUCAACCCCAUUCUGCCGUUGAUACUGGGUGGCUUGAUUGCGGUCGAGGUUGGCGGAAUUCGUUGUGUAGCGGUGAAAUGCAUAGAUAUGACGAAGAACACCGAUUGCGUAGGCAGCUGACCAGACCGCAAAUGACGCUCAUGCACGAAAGUGCGGGGAUCGAACAGGAUUAGAUACCCUGGUAGUCCGCACAGUAAACGAUGAAUACUUGUUUUCGGCGAUAUAAUGUCGGAGGCAAAGCGAAAGCGAUAAGUAUUCCACCUGGGGAGUACGCCGGCAACGGUGAAACCCAAAUGAAUUGACGGGG
rnacentral:rRNA from 1 species